CCUAGAGGAUCCUGGCUGGGGGCUACUAGUUGCUGGCAGGAGGCCGGGAGGCGGAGAGGGCUCAGAUAAAGAUCAAGGUCAAUGAAAGGAGAAGCAACAAAUACAAGCUAGUCGGGACAGAGAGAAAAGGAGGGCAGAAAACACCCAGAGAGGAGGAGACGAGACCCCCUUCAGACCCCUCAGGCUGCGAGGAGACACCGGCUCAGCCUAGAGCUCCCUCUCUGGAGGCAGAAACGUGAGGCACCCACAGGGCAGAAGAGGAGUAAGAAACUUAUUAACAAGAGCACAUUAUUCGUAGCAGUGACUGAGAACCAAAUUCCUGGCAAAGCUUGAACAACUGUGGCAAAAACCUGCCCGGAGUGCUUCCUGCCUUCUCACUGAGAUUCAGAAUAAACACUUCCUGAAGCCUUGUCGUCA
rnacentral:lncRNA from 1 species